GACGAACGCUGGCGGCGUGCUUAACACAUGCAAGUCGAACGGAAAGGCCCUGCUUGCAGGGUGCUCGAGUGGCGAACGGGUGAGUAACACGUGGGUGAUCUGCCCCUUACUUUGGGAUAAGCCUGGGAAACUGGGUCUAAUACUGGAUAGGACCAUGCUGUAGGUGGUGUGGUGGAAAGAUUAGUUUCGGUAAGGGAUGAGCUCGCGGCCUAUCAGCUUGUUGGUGGGGUAAUGGCCUACCAAGGCGUCGACGGGUAGCCGGCCUGAGAGGGUGGACGGCCACAUUGGGACUGAGAUACGGCCCAGACUCCUACGGGAGGCAGCAGUGGGGAAUAUUGCACAAUAGGCGCAAGCCUGAUGCAGCGACGCCGCGUGGGGGAUGACGGCCUUCGGGUUGUAAACUCCUUUCAGCCAUGACGAAGCCCUUGUGGUGACGGUAGUGGUAGAAGAAGCACCGGCUAACUACGUG
rnacentral:rRNA from 1 species